rnacentral:rRNA from 1 species
GAUGAACGCUGGCUACAGGCUUAACACAUGCAAGUCGUGGGGAAACGGCAUUAUGUGCUUGCACAUUCUGGACGUCGACCGGCGCACGGGUGAGUAUCGCGUAUCCAACCUGCCCCUUACUUGGGGAUACCCCGUUGAAAGACGGCCUAAUACCCGAUGUGUUUCAUUGACGGCAUCCGAUAUGAAACAAAGGUUUUUCCGGUAAGGGAUGGGGAUGCGUCUGAUUAGCUUGUUGGCGGGGCAACGGCCCACCAAGGCGACGAUCAGUAGGGGUUCUGAGAGGAAGGUCCCCCACAUUGGAACUGAGACACGGUCCAAACUCCUACGGGAGGCAGCAGUGAGGAAUAUUGGUCAAUGGACGCAAGUCUGAACCAGCCAAGUAGCGUGCAGGAUGACGGCCCUAUGGGUUGUAAACUGCUUUUAUGUGGGAAUAAAGUGGCGCACGUGUGCGCCAUUGCAUG